AGGGCCGUAGCUCAGUGGAAGAGCGUUUGCUUUUUAUGCUGAAGGUCCCUGAGAUCUCCAGGCUGUGCUG